rnacentral:hammerhead_ribozyme from 1 species
GUACGGAUGAAGCGUCCAAAAUAAGGACGAAACAACUGUCCAGUAC